GUGCAAAGGUAGCGUAAUCACUUGUCUUUUAAAUGAAGACCCGUAUGAAUGGCAUCACGAGGGCUUAACUGUCUCCCUUUUCCAGUCAAUGAAAUUGACCUCCCCGUGCAGAGGCGGGGAUAAACACAUAAGACGAGAAGACCCUGUGGAGCUUUAGACCUAAAAUAAGCUACGUUUAACAGCCUGUAAAAUCAGAAAUAACUUAGUAGUUUUUAUUGAAGUGUCUUUGGUUGGGGCGACCGAGGGGUAAAACACAACCCCCAUGUGGACCGGGGAUACUAUCCCUAAUACCAAGGGCCUCCCCCCCAAGUAACAGAACUUCUGACCUUAUGAUCCGGCACAGCCGAUUAACGAACCGAGUUACCCCAGGGAUAACAGCGCAAUCCCCUCUAAGAGCCCAUAUCGACGAGGGGGUUUACGACCUCGA
rnacentral:rRNA from 1 species